rnacentral:rRNA from 1 species
UGGGAAUAUUGCACAAUGGCGCAAGGCCUGAUGCAGCCAUGCCGCGUGUGUGAAGAAGGCCUUCGGGUUGUAAAGCACUUUCAGCGAGGAGGAAGGUGGUGAACUUAAUACGUUCAUCAAUUGACGUUACUCGCAGAGGAAGCACCGGCUAACUCCGUGCCAGCAGCCGCGGUAAUACGGAGGGUGCAAGCGUUAAUCGGAAUUACUGGGCGUAAAAGCGCACGCAGGCGGUUUUGUUAAGUCAGAUGUGAAAUCCCCGGGCUCAACCUGGGAACUGCAUUUGAAACUGGCAAGCUAGAGUCUCGUAGAGGGGGGUAGAAUUCCAGGUGUAGCGGUGAAAUGCGUAGAGAUCUGGAGGAAUACCGGUGGCGAAGGCGGCCCCCUGGANGAAGACUGACGCUCAGGUGCGAAAGCGUGGGGGAGCAAACAGAUUAG